GAAUAUUUCAUAAUAAACAUACAUUUUUGACAUCCAUUUUUUUUAAUAGCGCCACAGUGCAAUUCUAAAGUCCAUUAUGACCUGUUACUACUACUUUAAUAGCGUCUCAUGACGAACCGAUUUUAACAAAUUGCAUUGUUUCAAUCACACGCUUAGUAAUUUGACAUUAACGUAUAUUGUGUCGAUUAUAUAAAAACCCAGUUAAUGAACGUAAAAUACUAUAUACGCAUACAUAAUAAGAAAUAUGAAAGUGAUAAUCUUGUGUGUAGCACUUUCGUCUCUGGUUUUAUCUAGUGCAUAUAGAAAUAACAAUGGAUUUCUAUGUACCUGCGCACCGGGGCCACUACUAUGUGCAAGUGACUUCCAAACCUACGCCGGCGCUUGUAACAUGAGAUGCGCGUCCAUUAAUAAGGGAAUAGAACUGUAUAUUUUAUUCUACGGUAGUUGUCAAGACUAUUACAAUAACUUAAUUUCCAAAAAAAAUCUUGAAGUAAAAGGUUUCCCUAAGCCCCACGUAAAACAAUGAUGGUCAAAUAAAAUAUACUCAAAUCAUUUAAAACUUUAAA